GGAGUUUGGGCCGUGUCUCAGUCCCAAUGUGGCCGAUCACCCUCUCAGGUCGGCUACUGAUCGCGGUCUUGGUGGGCCGUUACCCCGCCAACUACCUAAUCGGACGCAUCCCCAUCCAUGGCCGGUAAACCUUUAGUCCUCGUUAGAUGUCUGCAAAGGACGCCAUAGGGCAUUAAUCCGCUUUUCAACGGGCUAUUCCCUAGCCAUGGGCAGGUUGGAUACGCGUUACUCACCCGUGCGCCGGUCGCCAUCAGAGUUUGCAAGCAAACCCUAUGCUGCCCCUCGACUUGCAUGUGUUAAGCCUGUAGCUAGCGUUCAUC
rnacentral:rRNA from 1 species